rnacentral:tRNA from 2 species
GUCCGGGUGGCGAAAUGGUAGACGCGCUAGCUUGAGGGGCUAGUCCUCUUACGAGGGUGAGGGUUCAAGUCCCUUCCCGGACACAA